rnacentral:rRNA from 1 species
GAUCAUGGCUCAGGAUGAACGCUAGCUACAGGCUUAACACAUGCAAGUCGAGGGGCAGCGGGAAGUCAGCUUGCUGACUUUGCCGGCGACCGGCGCACGGGUGAGUAACACGUAUCCAACCCCCCGCAUACUCGGGAAUAGCCUUUCGAAAGAAAGAUUAAUGCCCGAUGGUUUCAAGGGAUUGCAUGGUAUCUUGAAUAAAGAUUCAUCGCUGAUAGAUAGGCAUGCGUU